CCGGGAUUUGGUAUUGGGUGCUUGGGAAAGCUGAACUCUGCAUCUGAAAAUGAUAAAGAGUUGAUGAUUGGUUUCUACAAGUUCCUCGCUAGUAGGGAGGAGAUGGCAUGUGAAGAAGCUGAGCUAGGACCAGAUGGAUUUGAACAGAAAAUGAGAGCACAACAACUGUUGUUGUGUUGCAAGAACAGGAACUGUUUUUUUGCAAAUUCCUCGGUGCCUUGGUGAUGGUUCAUGCUGAAAAUGCUUUUUCUUAUGUGAUAGUUAUCAUUCACUUUUGUGUAAUCUUGUUUUAAUAUGCUUUUAAAUCAUGUAACUUUAAAUUUUAUGA